rnacentral:tRNA from 1 species
GAGGGUACAGCUCAAGUGGUAGAGCCCAUGCCUAGCAUGCACAAGGUCCUGGGUUCAAUCCCCAGUACCUCUU